GAUGAACGCUGGCGGCGUGCCUAAUACAUGCAAGUCGAGCGAACAGAUGAGGCUCUUGCUCCUCUGACGUUAGCCGCGGACGGGAGAGUAACACGUGUAUAACCUCCCUAUAAGACUGGUAUAAUUUCGGGACUCCGGAGCUAAUCCCGUAUAAUCUACUGAUCCGCAUGGUUCGUUAGAGAAAGUCGGUUUUUCUGUCUCUUCUAGCUGGUUCCGCGCCGCUUUAGCUAGUUGUUAGGGUCACGGCUUAUGACGGCAACGAUGCGUAGCCGACGUGAGAGGGUGAUCGGCCACACUGGAGCGGAGACGCGGUCCAGACUCCUACGGGAGGCAGCAGAAGGGAAUGUUACGCAAUGGGCGAGAGCCUGGCGGAGCAGCGCCGCGUGAGUGAUAGAAGUCUUCGGAUCGUGAAACUCUGUUUUGAGGGAAGAACAGAUGUGUAAGGAACUGUGCACGUAUUGACGGUAACUAAUCAGAAAGCAACGGCUAACUACGUG
rnacentral:rRNA from 1 species